rnacentral:rRNA from 1 species
GUGGGGAAUAUUGCACAAUGGGCGCAAGCCUGAUGCAGCAACGCCGCGUGAGGGACGACGGCCUUCGGGUUGUAAACCUCUUUUGGCAGGGAAGAAGCGAAAGUGACGGUACCUGCAGAAAAAGCACCGGCUAACUACGUGCCAGCAGCCGCGGUGAUACGUAGGGUGCAAGCGUUGUCCGGAAUUAUUGGGCGUAAAGAGCUCGUAGGCGGUUUGUCGCGUCUGCUGUGAAAACCCGAGGCUCAACCUCGGGCCUGCAGUGGGUACGGGCAAACUAGAGUGCGGUAGGGGAGAUUGGAAUUCCUGGUGUAGCGGUGGAAUGCGCAGAUAUCAGGAGGAACACCGAUGGCGAAGGCAGAUCUCUGGGCCGUAACUGACGCUGAGGAGCGAAAGCAUGGGGAGCGAACA